rnacentral:rRNA from 1 species
UGCCAGCCGCCGCGGUAAGACGGAGGGCGCAAGCGUUGUUCGGAAUUACUGGGCGUAAAGCGCGCGCAGGCGGUCCUUUAAGUCCAAUGUGAAACUCCGGGGCUCAACCCCGGACAUGCAUUGGAUACUGGGGGACUAGAGACCGGUAGAGGCUAGCGGAAUUCCUGGUGUAGCGGUGGAAUGCGUAGAUAUCAGGAAGAACACCGGUGGCGAAGGCGGCUAGCUGGGCCGGUUCUGACGCUCAGGUGCGAAAGCGUGGGGAGCAAACAGGAUUAGAUA